UACGUAGGGUGCAAGCGUUGUCCGGAAUUAUUGGGCGUAAAGGGCUCGUAGGCGGUUUGUCGCGUCGGGAGUGAAAACACCGGGCUUAACUCGGUGCUUGCUUUCGAUACGGGCAGACUUGAGGCAUGCAGGGGGAGAACGGAAUUCCUGGUGUAGCGGUGAAAUGCGCAGAUAUCAGGAGGAACACCGGUGGCGAAGGCGGGGUCUCUGGGCAGUAACUGACGCUGAGGAGCGAAAAGCGUGGGGGAGCGAACAGG
rnacentral:rRNA from 1 species